GGUUAAGCGACUAAGCGUACACGGUGGAUGCCCUGGCAGUCAGAGGCGAUGAAGGACGUGCUAAUCUGCGAUAAGCGUCGGUAAGGUGAUAUGAACCGUUAUAACCGGCGAUUUCCGAAUGGGGAAACCCAGUGUGAUUCGUCACACUAUCAUUAACUGAAUCCAUAGGUUAAUGAGGCGAACCGGGGAACUGAAACAUCUAAGUACCCCGAGGAAAAGAAAUCAACCGAGAUUCCCCCAGUAGCGGCGAGCGAACGGGGAGCAGCCCAGAGCCUGAAUCAGUGUGUGUGUUAGUGGAAGCGUCUGGAAAGGCGUGCGAUACAGGGUGACAGCCCCGUACACAAAAAUGCACAUACUGUGAGCUCGAUGAGUAGGGCGGGACACGUGGUAUCCUGUCUGAAUAUGGGGGGACCAUCCUCCAAGGCUAAAUACUCCUGACUGACCGAUAGUGAACCAGUACCGUGAGGGAAAGGCGAAAAGAACCCCGGCGAGGGGAGUGAAAAAGAACCUGAAACCGUGUACGUACAAGCAGUGGGAGCACGCUUAGGCGUGUGACUGCGUACCUUUUGUAUAAUGGGUCAGCGACUUAUAUUCUGUAGCAAGGUUAACCGAAUAGGGGAGCCGAAGGGAAACCGAGUCUUAACUGGGCGUUAAGUUGCAGGGUAUAGACCCGAAACCCGGUGAUCUAGCCAUGGGCAGGUUGAAGGUUGGGUAACACUAACUGGAGGACCGAACCGACUAAUGUUGAAAAAUUAGCGGAUGACUUGUGGCUGGGGGUGAAAGGCCAAUCAAACCGGGAGAUAGCUGGUUCUCCCCGAAAGCUAUUUAGGUAGCGCCUCGUGAAUUCAUCUCCGGGGGUAGAGCACUGUUUCGGCAAGGGGGUCAUCCCGACUUACCAACCCGAUGCAAACUGCGAAUACCGGAGAAUGUUAUCACGGGAGACACACGGCGGGUGCUAACGUCCGUCGUGAAGAGGGAAACAACCCAGACCGCCAGCUAAGGUCCCAAAGUCAUGGUUAAGUGGGAAACGAUGUGGGAAGGCCCAGACAGCCAGGAUGUUGGCUUAGAAGCAGCCAUCAUUUAAAGAAAGCGUAAUAGCUCACUGGUCGAGUCGGCCUGCGCGGAAGAUGUAACGGGGCUAAACCAUGCACCGAAGCUGCGGCAGCGACGCUUAUGCGUUGUUGGGUAGGGGAGCGUUCUGUAAGCCUGUGAAGGUGUGCUGUGAGGUAUGCUGGAGGUAUCAGAAGUGCGAAUGCUGACAUAAGUAACGAUAAAGCGGGUGAAAAGCCCGCUCGCCGGAAGACCAAGGGUUCCUGUCCAACGUUAAUCGGGGCAGGGUGAGUCGACCCCUAAGGCGAGGCCGAAAGGCGUAGUCGAUGGGAAACAGGUUAAUAUUCCUGUACUUGGUGUUACUGCGAAGGGGGGACGGAGAAGGCUAUGUUGGCCGGGCGACGGUUGUCCCGGUUUAAGCGUGUAGGCUGGUUUUCCAGGCAAAUCCGGAAAAUCAAGGCCGAGGCGUGAUGACGAGGCACUACGGUGCUGAAGCAACAAAUGCCCUGCUUCCAGGAAAAGCCUCUAAGCAUCAGGUAACAUCAAAUCGUACCCCAAACCGACACAGGUGGUCAGGUAGAGAAUACCAAGGCGCUUGAGAGAACUCGGGUGAAGGAACUAGGCAAAAUGGUGCCGUAACUUCGGGAGAAGGCACGCUGAUACGUAGGUGAAGCGACUUGCUCGUGGAGCUGAAAUCAGUCGAAGAUACCAGCUGGCUGCAACUGUUUAUUAAAAACACAGCACUGUGCAAACACGAAAGUGGACGUAUACGGUGUGACGCCUGCCCGGUGCCGGAAGGUUAAUUGAUGGGGUUAGCGCAAGCGAAGCUCUUGAUCGAAGCCCCGGUAAACGGCGGCCGUAACUAUAACGGUCCUAAGGUAGCGAAAUUCCUUGUCGGGUAAGUUCCGACCUGCACGAAUGGCGUAAUGAUGGCCAGGCUGUCUCCACCCGAGACUCAGUGAAAUUGAACUCGCUGUGAAGAUGCAGUGUACCCGCGGCAAGACGGAAAGACCCCGUGAACCUUUACUAUAGCUUGACACUGAACAUUGAGCCUUGAUGUGUAGGAUAGGUGGGAGGCUUUGAAGUGUGGACGCCAGUCUGCAUGGAGCCGACCUUGAAAUACCACCCUUUAAUGUUUGAUGUUCUAACGUGGACCCGUGAUCCGGGUUGCGGACAGUGUCUGGUGGGUAGUUUGACUGGGGCGGUCUCCUCCUAAAGAGUAACGGAGGAGCACGAAGGUUGGCUAAUCCUGGUCGGACAUCAGGAGGUUAGUGCAAUGGCAUAAGCCAGCUUGACUGCGAGCGUGACGGCGCGAGCAGGUGCGAAAGCAGGUCAUAGUGAUCCGGUGGUUCUGAAUGGAAGGGCCAUCGCUCAACGGAUAAAAGGUACUCCGGGGAUAACAGGCUGAUACCGCCCAAGAGUUCAUAUCGACGGCGGUGUUUGGCACCUCGAUGUCGGCUCAUCACAUCCUGGGGCUGAAGUAGGUCCCAAGGGUAUGGCUGUUCGCCAUUUAAAGUGGUACGCGAGCUGGGUUUAGAACGUCGUGAGACAGUUCGGUCCCUAUCUGCCGUGGGCGCUGGAGAACUGAGGGGGGCUGCUCCUAGUACGAGAGGACCGGAGUGGACGCAUCACUGGUGUUCGGGUUGUCAUGCCAAUGGCACUGCCCGGUAGCUAAAUGCGGAAGAGAUAAGUGCUGAAAGCAUCUAAGCACGAAACUUGCCCCGAGAUGAGUUCUCCCUGACCCUUUAAGGGUCCUGAAGGAACGUUGAAGACGACGACGUUGAUAGGCCGGGUGUGUAAGCGCAGCGAUGCGUUGAGCUAACCGGUACUAAUGAACCGUGAGGCUUAACCUU
rnacentral:rRNA from 1 species